GCCAGGGGCUCGGGCAGUGUGGGCUGAGCCCAAUGUGCGAAGACGGGCCUGCAGUGGAGGAAGCUUUUGCAGGUCAAAAACAUGUGUUUGGGAAACCUUCCUUGUGCUCUUGGCUUGGGAAUCUCACUCCUUCUGUGAAUCACUUCUUCUUGCAGCCUUGGUGUUUUCUCUACUUCAUCUUGGAGUCCUGUGAACCCCUAGUGCGCAUUCUGCUUCCUGCUGGGCUGGCUGCUGGCAGCCGCCCAUCUGUGCCAUCCGUGAGGCAGACAGAGGGACAGACAGGGAGCCUGCAGGGCAGUGACUCCCCUCCUGAGAGAAGGCCCUGCCCGGAUCUGCCAGGUUCUAAACACCUGGCAUGGGGCAGAGGAGAGAUGUCUUGACUGAUAGCAGAAGUGCCAAAUGCUUCUUGGUCCUGCCAUGAAACGCCUGUGCCGCCUCAAACUUCAGCUUCCACCCUAAGAAACAGGACAUCUGGCCUAGAUGGUGCGAAGGGCUCUGUGAGCUUCGUGCUCCUGAGGGAAGGGCUGGGAUGGCAGAGGGAGGCUGAGCCCUGUCCUUCGAGGUUGCCCCCAGAUCUGGCCCUGCCCUCCGACAGGGUUUGAGGCGGUGGCAGCUACUGGUUAAUGGGGACCAGAUGCAGCCCUGUCCCUGGCCGUGCUCGGCCGCCUUCCUGCUCCAAGGACUUGGGGCUCUUUGAAACUCUGUGGAGUGUGGCUUCGGAGCCCAGAGUGGAAACCGCAGCUCCAUUCUGUGAGCACAUGUGAUCUCCCUGGGCGGAGAGAGUGACUGGCCUCAGGAAAGGAGAGGCGAGGUGGAGGCCACUGGCUCUCUGGAGAAUGCUUUUGCCUCCCUGCUUAGGACGGUGUCUGGGAGCCCCAGGGAGGUCACACACAGACCACGGCUUUCAUCCUGGGCACCCUUUGCUCUCUCUGAGUGAAGCCAGCUGCCAUGUUGUGAGCUGCCCAAUAGAGAGGCCCAUGCACCAAGGACCAGAGGGAGGCCUCUGGCCACCAGCCAGCGAGGCCAGCAAGGCCAGUGAGGAACAGAGGUCUGCGGUCCAGCAACCCACGAGACACCAACUCCUGCCAACAAGCACGUGAGUGAGCCUGGAAGCAGAUCCGUCCCCCGUCAAGCUCAGAUGACUGCAGUCCUGGCCAGCAGCUUGACUGCAGCCUGGGAGAGACCACGGGGCAGAGGGCCAGCCAGGCCAUGCGCACACUCCUGACCCACGGAAUCUGGAAGAUAGCAAAUGUGUGUUGUUUUAAGUUGCUGACUUUGGGGACAAUUUGUUACACGGCUGUGGAUAACUAAUUCGACACAUAAAAAUCAAGUGGUUACAGGGUGCCUGGCGCCUUUCCCAUCAUUCUCUCCUCUGCCGUGCUUGGGAGUUCAGCCCAUUUCACAGACAUGGAAGCUGAGACUCAAGAGGUCCCGUGACUUGCUCAAGGGCAUCUAGCUGGAGAGCUGUGAAGCCAGAACACAAGUCCAGGCUCUUUACCCACAAGCCCCAAGAAGACGGGGCAUCCUACCCAAGACUUGUCAGGGCAUUUCCACCUGCCUCAUUCUUGAGCAUCAAAGUCAGGCACAUAUUAUGACUCCAUUGGCC
rnacentral:lncRNA from 1 species